rnacentral:misc_RNA from 1 species
GAUGAGGAACGUAGCGAAAUGCGAUAAGUAAUGUGAAUUGCAGAAUUCAGUGAAUCAUCGAAUCUUUGAACGCACAUUGCGCCCGCCAGUAUUCUGGCGGGCAUGCCUGUUCGAGCGUCAUUUCAACCCUCAGGCCCCGCCUGGCGUUGGGGAUCGGCGCGGCCCUCUCCGGGCUGCCGGCCCCGAAAACUAGUGGCGGUCUCGCUGUAGUCCUCCUCUGCGCAGUAGCAACGCUCGCACUGGAACUCGGCGCGGCCACGCCGUAAAACACCCCACUUCUGAAAGUUGACCUCGGAUCAGGUAGGAAUACCCGCUGAACUUAAGCAUAUCAAUAAGCGGAGGA